GCCAAGCAGAGGAGCUGCUCUGUGCCCAACUUAGAAAACUGGAAGAGGCCGCAACCUUCCGCUUGCUGGAGACUGGAGGAUGGAUGGAGCCUGGAGCCUGGGACACUACCUCGCUGCGGUUGGUGGUGGCGAGAGAGCAGUAGGAGGGCAGCCGGCAGCAGGAGCUUCUCCUGCUGGGCUGGAGGACUAGAACGAAGAGGAACCGCCACAUGCUGGAGGCUGGAGCCUGUGCCACCGUGGCUUACCUCGCUGUGGUUGGUGGUGACGUCAGAGACUGCAGCUCGGCCACAGUGGUAGAAAUGUGAUGGGCUUUGCCUGCCCAGCUGCUCCAAGCCAGGCUGCAGGAGGAGAAGGAGGAGUCGCCAGUGGUAUGGUCGAGCAGAUGACAUGGCUCUGAAACUUGCCUCAUGAAGUUGGUGGUAGAGAUGGAGACUGCAGCUCAACUGGAGCGGUAGGAGGGCACCCACGGGGACCAGGUGGUAGGAGCCUGGUAGGGUGGGCUGGUACAUUGAGGGUGACAGUGGUUGUAUUGGCAUCGGCGCUAGUGGUGGUAGCAGUAGGAAGUCUGGGGGCUGGGAAGGGGGAGUAGGAGCACUGCAGGGCCCAUCCCGUUCUGGGGUGGGGAGGAACCUGUGGGUGUUGUAACGAAGGCCUCGGUGGCAGUGGUGGUGGUACAUAUAGGGCAAAGAGGAGUCCUCCCCCUUC
rnacentral:lncRNA from 10 species